GUUGUUCAGUUAUAAGUUUUUGUAAGCAGUGCUUUACAUAUUUCCAUCACAAUCCAGUCACGUCUAAGUCAUUACAGCUGAACGGACGUGCUGGGCCAGCUCUCCUUUACCCGCUAUCUUCUAUGAGGGUUUACAGUUAGAUGAUCAACGACUUGCUACUUUAGAUGACAGUAACCAAUCCAACGCCGUACAGUAAACGCAGUAGUUGGGCC
rnacentral:lncRNA from 1 species